GAAAAAUUAAAUUGAAGCUGCUAACUUUGAUUAGGGGGUAACUCCAUUUUUCU
rnacentral:tRNA from 2 species